AUUGAACGCUGGCGGCAUGCCUAACACAUGCAAGUCGAACGGCAGCAUGUUGUAGUUUACUACAAUGAUGGCGAGUGGCGAACGGGUGAGUAACGCGUAGGAAUAUAUCCUGUAGAGUGGGACAACUUGGGGAAACUCAAGCUAAUACCGCAUGAUUUCUUCGGAAGAAAGCUGGGGACCUUAGGGCCUGGCGCUAUAGGGAUAGCCUGCGUCCGAUUAGCUAGUUGGUGGGGUAAAGGCCUACCAAGGCGACGAUCGGUAGCUGGUCUGAGAGGACGAACAGCCACACUGGAACUGAGAGACGGUCCAGACUCCUACGGGAGGCAGCAGUGGGGAAUAUUGGACAAUGGGGGAAACCCUGAUCCAGCAAUGCCGCGUGUGUGAAGAAGGCCUGAGGGUUGUAAAGCACUUUCAGUUAGGAGGAAGUGUGCUUGGUUAAGAGCUGGGUACAUUGACGUUACUGACAGAAGAAGCACCGGCUAACUCCGUGCCAGCAGCCGCAGUAACAC
rnacentral:rRNA from 1 species